GAAGGCAUAGCUCAGUGUUAGAGUGCAUGCCUAGCAUACAUGAGGUCUUGGGUUCAAGCCCCAACACCUCUA
rnacentral:tRNA from 1 species